AUAACCGGCGAACGGGUGCGUAACACGUGAACAACCUGCCCUCGUGUGGGGGAUAGCCAUGCUAACGCGUGGGUAAUACCGCAUACGGUCCUUUGGGGGAGGUCCCUGGGGGAAGAAAGCUCCGGCGCACGGGGAGGGGUUCGCGGCCUAUCAGCUAGUUGGGGGGGUAAUGGCCCACCAAGGCGACGACGGGUAGCUGGUCUGAGAGGAUGGCCAGCCACAUUGGGACUGAGAGACGGCCCAG
rnacentral:rRNA from 1 species